AAUAGAUACCCCGGUAGUCCACGCCGUAAACGAUGAGUGCUAAGUGUUAGGGGGUUUCCGCCCCUUAGUGCUGCAGCUAACGCAUUAAGCACUCCGCCUGGGGAGUACGGUCGCAAGACUGAAACUCAAAGGAAUUGACGGGGGCCCGCACAAGCGGUGGAGCAUGUGGUUUAAUUCGAAGCAACGCGAAGAACCUUACCAGGUCUUGACAUCCCAUUGACCACUAUGGAGACAUAGUUUUCCCUUCGGGGACAACGGUGACAGGUGGUGCAUGGUUGUCGUCAGCUCGUGUCGUGAGAUGUUGGGUUAAGUCCCGCAACGAGCGCAACCCUUGUUCUUAGUCGCCAUCAUUUAGUUGGGCACUCUAAGGAGACUGCCGGUGACAAACCGGAGGAAGGUGGGGAUGACGUCAAAGUCAUCAUGGCCCCUUAUGACCUGGGCUACACACGUGCUACAAUGGACGGUACAAACGGUUGCCAACCCGCGAGGGGGAGCUAAUCCGAUAAAACCGUUCUCAGUUCGGAUUGUAGGCUGCAACUCGCCUACAUGAAGCC
rnacentral:rRNA from 1 species